rnacentral:tRNA from 1 species
GGCUCCAUAGUGUAGUGGUUAGCAUGUCUGCUUUACAUGCAGAAGGUCCUGGGUUCGGACCCCAGGUGGAGCCA